GCUGAUCGGUGGUAGCGUACUGACUCCCUUAUCUGUGAUAGCGAAGACUGAGUGUCAAAACGAAGCUGGCUGCUUGAGGACUGGGGCUUGUUUGUUCGUGAUACGAACUAGAAGAGAUUUCGAUUGCAGACAUCCUGGAUGAAGCUUAACUGGUGCUUCUUGAGUUGGUCUAAUCGUACAUAUUCUGAGCAACUGGAUUGAGUGCAUUUGACUCGAAGCGAAGCUAGUGACAUUAAGAGGACAGACAACAUCAGCUGAUGAUUUAAUGGCUUGAACAGCACGCUGUGCACAACAUAGUUGUUUACAAGGUAAUUCCACAGGUGCAUUGAUGACUUGUUUACAUAUUGGACAAAGAAACAACUCUAUUGUGAGAGGGGGAGCUGGCUGGAUGAACUCAGAGGGCAAGAGAGACUGAGUUGAGACAUCCGAACAGAAUGAUGGAGGAGCUGUCUGCUUUAUGUUGUCAAUUACAUUCUGAAGUGACGGCAUUGUGUCACUAGCGGCUGCAGUUCUUUUCUUCUAUGAUUUUUUGGAAGGACGUCCUCCUUUUCAUUGCUCCUUGCAGCUCAAGCAGAUUGGACAGUCUUCUGAGUGAGCUUGCCAUUUUGGUGAUUAUGCAACAUUCAGCAGCGCUCCUUGGCUUUUUUCACACUUUGACAUUGCAAGGUAACAACCAAUACAGAAGUCAGUUGGGUGAACAAAUGGGUCAUUGUUUUCCAAAUGUCAGUUGCUGUACGCUUGUGAUAGUCGCCUAGAAUACUCAGAGCAGGCAUAAGGACGGUCAUCACGUCCAAACCUAAUGCCACAUACACGACAUAGAUGUCUAUGGCAGGCCUGAUGUUCAUUCAUUAUGUAACACACAAAGUUACUAGUACAGUAGUACUGAGACUCUUUGAAUUUAUUGAAAAAUUUCUUGUUAUAUAACUGAACUGAGUUACACCUUAACAAGACAGUACAUGGUUCGUGAGAA